CAUUUAAGCACAGUGCUGGUCUGCCAUUGGAGAUACUGGCCAAGGUAAAGCCAGUAUAUGUUAAAUGU
rnacentral:pre_miRNA from 1 species